GGGACUUGGGAAGUACACAAAAUACCUACAUAAAAUGGUUGACUCGCAUUAUCAUUCAUCAGUUACAAUAACCAACACAAAAGGCACAUUCUUGAACUAGUAUAUUAUCUUUAAUUGGUUGGCAAAAGAAAUUUGCAGAGCAAUCCAACUAUGAAUCUAUAUACACAAGCAAUAUAUGAAUCUUUGUUGAAGGCAAAAUUGUUCAAGAUUUAACAUUCAAUCAAAGGACUGGAAAUCAAUUAAACAGGAAUAACCCCACAAAGAGAGCUAUUAGAAAACACUCGUGGCCUUAAAAGGUAUUAAUAUCAAUUCAAACAGACUUCUAUCAAGUAUGAAUGCAAGCACCACAGAGGUUUACA
rnacentral:misc_RNA from 1 species